GGAUGAACGCCGGCGGCAUGCUUAACACAUGCAAGUCGAAUGGGAAAUGGUGUUUCCAGUGUCGAAUAGGUGAGUAACGCGUAAGAACCUGCCCUUGGGAGGGAAACAACAACUGAAAACAGUUGCUAAUACCCUGUGGCUGAGGAGCAAAAGGAGAAACCCACCUAAGGAAGGGCUCGCGUCUGAUUAGCUAGUUGGUGAGGCAAUAGCUUACCAAGGCGAUGAUCAGUACCUGGUCCGAGAGGAUGAUCAGCCACACUGGGAUUGAGACACGGCGUAGACUCCUACGGGUGGCAGCAGUGGUGAAUUUUCCACAAUGGGUGAAAACCUGACAGAGCAAUGCCGCGUGGAGGUGGAAGGCCCACGGAUCGUCAACUUCUUUUCUCGGAGAAGAAACAAUGACGGUAUCUGAGGAAUAAGCAUCGGCUAACUCUGUGCCAGCAGCCGCGGUAAGACAGAGGAUGCAAGCGUUAUCC
rnacentral:rRNA from 1 species